rnacentral:rRNA from 1 species
AUUGAACGCUGGCGGCAGGCCUAACACAUGCAAGUCGAGCGGAUGACGGGAGCUUGCUCCUUGAUUCAGCGGCGGACGGGUGAGUAAUGCCUAGGAAUCUGCCUGGUAGUGGGGGACAACGUUUCGAAAGGAACGCUAAUACCGCAUACGUCCUACGGGAGAAAGCAGGGGACCUUCGGGCCUUGCGCUAUCAGAUGAGCCUAGGUCGGAUUAGCUAGUUGGUGGGGUAAUGGCUCACCAAGGCGCCGAUCCGUAACUGGUCUGAGAGGAUGAUCAGCAACACUGGAAGUGAGACACGGUACAGACUCCUACGGGAGGCAGCAGUGGGGAAUAUUGGACAAUGGGCGAAAACCUGACCCAGCCAUGCCGCGUGUGUGAAGAAGGUCUUCGGAUUGUAAAGCACUUUAAGUUGGGAGGAAGGGCAGUAAGUUAAUACUUUGCUGUCUUGACGUUACCGACAGAAUAAGCACCGGCUAACUCUGUGCCAGCCGCCGCCGUAAAAC